CUCUGUGGCCAUAAAUCAGCCCAGAGUCACCACACUGACCACGGCCAAAGGGGCAGUCGUGACAUUGCCAAGUAUUUACACCCCAUCACAAAGUGUACCAAUGACAGCACACUUCAGACUGUGCCACUGCAGCUGUCUGCCAACUCCAAGGUCCCACACCGUGAGUUACGGGUGGAUUCAGGAUCCACUAUAUCACUUCUUUGGAAUGGAGUUUAUCUACAGUGACAGCGGGCCGUUGAUGUUGGUCUCUCGGCAGGCUCUGGCCUAGGCACAGGCUCAGGGAAUGCUGCCAAAACCAGCCAGUGCCAAUGCUUCUGCUUAGACCCCCAUCCUCACAGUCAACUGUGACCACUACACCAAUCAUCAGAGUGUAUCACCAGUGUAUCAGCUACUACCAAUAUUAAACUUAAUUCCACUACAGGAACUGCCAUUCAGAAACCACCCGCCGCUACAGGAACUGCUAUUUUCACGCCAUCAGUGGGAGCUACCAUCAUUAAACCAGCCGGUGUUACAGGGACAGCCAUCAGAAAACCCAGCUCUACCAUGGGGCCUGUUAUCAAAGCCAGUCAAAUGACUCCAAACAGCAGCACACAGGGGACCUUUAACCAGAGGACUAAUUCUGUCACUGCAACUAUCAUAAUUAAUACCUCUGCUGUAAAGUCUGUGGUCAAAGGUGUUCUCUCCACCGAAGGUAGGAUGGGAAAGUAGAAGCAGAAGAGUUUACUGAAAAACGACAUGGAGCUCAAAUCAUCCCCUCAACCAUAUCUAGUGCCUUCCUGAAGAGGAGCCUGCCAGCUGUCCGUCAGCUCACCCCAAACUCUCAGGUCUUUCUUUAAGCAAGUGUGACCAACUCACGCCCUCAGAUUCAGCAUCAACCAAGGCCGCAAACCAGAGGUCCACUGCUUCGGUCAGCUCCUCCCUCAAGCCCAACCAGCCAACCAGAAUGGCUCAGCUGGCAAACCCCGGCCCAUUUUUAAUCCCGGCAUUGUAAUUCAUCAUGAUGAUUUCAGGGCUUUCCCUAUAUGAACCAACGGAAGAGUAAUUUGAUCAUAUGAAAAACAAAUGAUCAUUCAGUGUUUGUGUUUCACUGAGAAAACAGACCUGGAUGUGUAUCGUUUUAAUGUUAAUCUGCAGGUGUGAUUCCUCUGUCAGUAUUUAGAGUACCAUAUGGUUUCUGGAACUCAGGUUUGUAUCUGAGGAUCCUGAAUACACCAUUUUGAUGUUUUAUGUUGUAGUAGACUCGGUAGUGUGUGUGUGAGAGAGUGAAACACUGUAAUUUCCCGUCCCAGCACACUGGUUCAUUUUCAUGACAGCCUCUCUUCACUUUGUCUUCAUUUCCUGGUUAACUCACCACCGCCCACGGUGUACAGGCUAAUUCACUUAAAACCACCAGUAUCCCACAAGCCCAAGCGGAGCCAAAUUAGUUUUACACUAGAGACAAAGAUGCAUGAGUCUUACCCCAUUUCUUACCAGGAAUGUCAUGUUAUCAUAUUCAAAUAAUGUCAUGAUUUGUUUUUCUGUAAUCUAAUCUCACCAUUUUAUUGGACGUCUUGAUGGAUUUCCACUGAAAUACAGAAGCUCAUUUCCCAUACACCUGAAUAGACUUUAGUGGUUUUGAUUACUUCAGAAUCAGAAAGUGCUCUGAGGGGUUGCAGAAGUGCUCCUGUCUAAAAUGGUUUCUACAAUGCCCUCGAGUUGGACUAAACCCAGCAUACCUUAUAUGAAUAUUUGCUGUCGUCUUAUAGAUUUUUAUUUUUUUACUUUGUCAGGUGAUCCAGCAACCUAAAGGAGUAAUCGUCAAACAGUAUUUGACAUCAGCUCUUGCAGACUUAACUGCACAGAACCAAACUUAACCCAAACAGAUGGUCAUUCAAACCAAC